AGAACGAACGUUAGCGGCGCGCCUAACACAUGCAAGUCGCACGAGAAAGGGCUUCGGCCCCGGUACAGUGGCGCACGGGUGAGUAACACGUAGGUAAUCUCCCCUUGAGCGGUGGAUAACCCUCCGAAAGAAGGGCUAAUACAGCAUAAGACCACGGCCUCUUCGGAGGACGCGGCCAAAGCAGGCCUCUACAUGUAAGCUUGCACUCGAGGAUGAGCCUGCGGCCCAUCAGGUAGUUGGCAGGGUAACGGCCUACCAAGCCUAAGACGGGUAGCUGGUCUGAGAGGAUGAACAGCCACACUGGAACUGACACACGGUCCAGACUCCUACGGGAGGCAGCAGUGGGGAAUCUUGCGCAAUGGGCGAAAGCCUGACGCAGCGACGCCGCGUGAGCGAUGAAGGCCUUCGGUUGUAAAGCUCGUGUGGGAGAGAAGAAGUAAGGCUGGCUAAUAUCCAGCCUGAUGAACGGUAUCUCCUUAGCAAGCACCGGACUAACUCG
rnacentral:rRNA from 1 species